AGAGUUGAUCAUGGCUCAGGACGAACGCUGGCGGCGUGCUUAACACAUGCAAGUCGAGCGGUAGGGCCCUUUUGGGGGUACACGAGCGGCGAACGGGUGAGUAACACGUGGGUGACCUGCCCUCAGCUCUGGGAUAAGCCUGGGAAACUGGGUCUAAUACCGGAUGUGACCUUUCCUCGCAUGGGGUUGGGUGGAAAGUCCUGGGCGUGAUUGUCUGGGUUCGGCUGGGGAUGGGCCCGCGGCCUAUCAGCUUGUUGGUGGGGUGAUGGCUUACCAAGCGACGACGGGUAGCCGGCCUGAGAGGGCGUCCGGCCACACUGGUACUGAGACACGGCCCAGACUCCUACGGGAGGCAGCAGUGGGGAAUAUUGCGCAAUGGGCGGAAGCCUGACGCAGCGACGCCGCGUGGGGGAUGACGGCCUUCGGGUUGUAAACCUCUUUCGUCAUCGACGAAGGCCUGUGGGUGAUUCUGCGGGUUGACGGUAGGUGGAGAAGAAGCACCGGCCAACUACGUGCCAGCAGCCGCGGUAAUACGUAGGGUGCGAGCGUUGUCCGGAAUUAUUGGGCGUAAAGAGCUCGUAGGCGGUGUGUCGCGUCGGUCGUGAAAACUUGGGGCUUAACCCUGAGCUUGCGGUCGAUACGGGCAUCACUUGAGUUCGGCAGGGAGACUGGAAUCCUGGUGUAGCGGUGAAUGCGCACGAUAUCAGGAGGAACACGGUGGCGAAGGCGGGUCUCUGGGCGAUACUGACGCUGAGGAGCGAAAGCGUGGGGAGCGACAGGAUUAAGAUACCCCUU
rnacentral:rRNA from 1 species